GGGGGGGGCAAAAAAAAUAAAUUUAGUUAAAACAAAAUAAAUAAAAUGCAAUUUUAGAGAAGCUGAUCCACCAACCAAGAAAAUUUAUGAAAAAAGAAAUAUGGGGCCCCAUAUGGUGAAAUAUCGCAAACAAUUGCAUCAUUGUUCAGCCAAUCUUCCAAUAAAAGAAAUUUUUUUUGAGGUGACGAUCGUAUCAAUAAAUGCACAGUCAAUAAACCUGAAACUAUAAGUUCAUUCUAAAGUAAUUUUUUUAGCCGUCGGUCUCACCACCAACUUUCAUUGUUCUUUGCUUAUUCGAUAAGACGAGAAUUGAGCUGUACUGUAUUCUUCGGCUCUUAUUUCUUGCAUUCAAGUACUUAAAUACUUGGUGUUGGUACAACUCGCGCCGAAGACAGUAUCAGGCAAGGAGUUUGACUGGGGCGGUACUUUUAUCAAAAUGUAAUGCAAAUGUCCUAAGGCUAGCUCAGAGAGGACAGAGAAACCUGUCGUAGAGUAAAAGGGCAAAAGGGCUCGCUUGAUCUUAUUUCCAGACAGCGAAAGCGUCGUGGAUCCUUUUGAAUCAGAAAAUCUCUACCAAACGCUGUCAGAAAA
rnacentral:ncRNA from 1 species